rnacentral:lncRNA from 10 species
CUCAGUUCCGUAAUCUUUGCUGGAGAAGAAGUAUUCUCCUGUUGGGGGCUGGCCGGGAGAGAGGGGAGUCUGAACAUUCUGAGGGAGGCGCAGGAUUCUAGAGGCUCUGAGUCUUUCCUGGAAUCUUUUAUGUCAGGUACCCCCAGAGAGAGGAGCAGCCUUCUCACCCUGGCCUCUGCAGGAGAGAAUCCCAGGAAAGAGUCUGAUUUGUUGUAUUGGGGUCACUUGCCUACCCUUAAGUCAAGGGAGCUAAGAACACCAAGCUGUCAUAUGAUGGAGGAGAAAGCUCCAACUCCCAGUGAUGUUAUCAAACGAAGGGGACACGGACACAGAGCAACCAAACAGAUGACGACCACGCCAGAAUUUUUAGGUGCUGCCUGCAGGUAUCAGGGGCUGAUUCUAUCUGCCCCAAACUGCAUUAGGGCUGAGCCCAGCAGGUUGAGUCUUUCUCAUGACAUUGGAAUGGCCACCAUUGUCACCACCAAUCCCAUCUGGCAGAGAUGGGCUGGGCCCCCACCUCUUCCAAGCCUGGCUUCUGGGAGGAAGUGUUUCUCCUUCUCUCAGGAAUUAGUCCUCGUUCAAAAACUCCAUGCAGUAAGGUUGCAGAACAAUGAGCAGCUUACAAUCAACACUUUGGACACACUGUUUUAUAAAGAUUCCUCCUAGUGCAGUGGUCUUCGGAGUGAAACUUCUUGAGUUGGAAUUCUAACACCGUUACCAGCUGUGAGAGAGAAAACGCCCACCUACUCUCUGAGCCUCAGUCUGUUCUGCUGCACGGUAGGGAGAUAACGUGUACUCCGCCCCCAUCUGUAUGUUGUUCUAUCAAAUGAAAUAAAAACUGUCAUCAGCUUGUAAACGGUGAGAUCCACACGGAUACGAAGAGGCAUUGGCGUCCUUUUCGCUGUUACCAAGUGAGAUCGGGCUGCUCUGGGAGUGUGACUGGAGGCUGAAGGCAGCUGCACACUGCGGUAACAAGAGCAGAGGUUGGAGGAGUUGAAGGUGAAAGUCCGGAGAAUGGGGUCCUCUGUGCUUCCAGCUUGCUCUCUACUUCAAGCACCGUGAAUAGAUGAAGCUCCACCACGUCCCAAAUGGCCUGAGGGCAGAGUUAUACAUUCAACUGGUAAUUUUAAAAGCCCUGAGUAGCUUCAUCUAAGCUCUGUUUUCUUUACUGAGAACCCAACUGCUAAGCCUUUCCUGGCAAUUAGGCUUCUUGAGGCUGAGCCUUCACAAAGCUGGGUUGCUUCCAAGUUUCCCUUCUUUUCCUCCCACAGGUUGGCACUGCACAGAGAUGGAACCUGAUGAAACGGCCCCAUUUGAGUGCCUGCUGUAUCAUGUUGGCUCUGCUUCCUGCAGCUGUGCUCCGAGAUGAGCCUUUCAGUCAUCGCUCCCUAAUAGCCCCAUCUCCCCGAAUUUGGGAGGACGCACAUUCCUCUCCUUGCUCACAUGCCCCACUUCAAGCCAUCUGCACACUCUACAGGGAACUUGCCUCCUGACGUCCUGAUGUGCAACCCCAUCCAAAUCCUCUGCUGGAAUCUCACUAUUCACACCACUGAUGCCCCUGGAGCAUGAAACAGAAAG